rnacentral:rRNA from 1 species
GAUAAACGCUGGGGAGGGKUGCUACCUGCAAGUCGACGGUGAAAGCCAAGCUUGCUUGGKGGAUCAGUGGCGAACGGGUGAGUACACGUGAGCAACCUGCCCUGGACUCUGGGAUAAGCGCUGGAAACGGCGUCUAAUACUGGAUAUGAGACGUGAUCGCAUGGUCGUGUUUGGAAAGAUUUUUCGKUCUGGGAUGGGCUCGCGGCYUAUCAGCUUGUUGGUGAGGUAAUGGCUCACCAAGGCGUCGACGGGUAGCCGGCCUGAGAGGGUGACCGGCCACACUGGGACUGAGACACGGCCCAGACUCCUACGGGAGGCAGCAGUGGGGAAUAUUGCACAAUGGGCGAAAGCCUGAUGCAGCAACGCCGCGUGAGGGAUGACGGCCUUCGGGUUGUAAACCUCUUUUAGCAGGGAAGAAGCGAAAGUGACGGUACCUGCAGAAAAAGCGCCGGCUAACUACGUGCCAGCAGCCGCGGUAAUACGUAGGGCGCAAGCGUUAUCCGGAAUUAUUGGGCGUAAAGAGCUCGUAGGCGGUUUGUCGCKUYUGCUGUGAAAUCCCGAGGCUCAACCUCGGGCCUGCAGUGGGUACGGGCAGACUAGAGUGCGGUAGGGGAGAUUGGAAUUCCUGGUGUAGCGGUGGAAUGCGCAGAUAUCAGGAGGAACACCGAUGGCGAARGCAGAUCUCUGGGCCGUAACUGACGCUGAGGAGCGAAAGGGKGGGGAGCAAACAGGCUUAGAUACCCUGGUAGUCCACCCCGUAAACGUUGGAAGUAGUUGUGGGGACCAUUCCACGGUUCCGUGACGCAGCUAACGCAUAAKUCCCCGCUGGGKAGUACGGCCCCCAAGGUU